AUAAUGAUUGUAGAGUCUUUCCGGAUUGGAGGUCUAAUAGUAGUCACAUCAAGUCCUCCCCCUCUUACUAAGGAUAGCUAGCGAGAGGAAUACUAAUGAUUAUCCAUGAAAGAAGGCUGGAUGGAAUUCAGCGAACACGAAUACUAAAGAUUCAUGGGGACCUCAAAAAAUAGGGGAUAGAGAGCGCGGAACGGGCUUUCCAAGCAUAAAACCCUACCUAUACAUUCCAUGGCAACAGACAGAAGGCAGUUCUGUCGUUGUUCUUAACCCCAGGCCCAUUUCCGUUCCCAAUAAUCUCCAUGAAAAGACUACCAUGAUUUCCG
rnacentral:lncRNA from 1 species